GACGAACGCUGGCGGCGUGCUUAACACAUGCAAGUCGAACGGAAAGGCCCUGCUUUUGUGGGGUGCUCGAGUGGCGAACGGGUGAGUAACAAGUGAGUAACCUGCCCUUGACUUUGGGUUAACUUCAGGAAACUGGGGCUAAUACCGGAUAGGAGCUCCUGCUGCAUGGUGGGGGUUGGAAAGUUUCGGCGGUUGGGGAUGGACUCGCGGCUUAUCAGCUUGUUGGUGGGGUAGUGGCUUACCAAGGCUUUGACGGGUAGCCGGCCUGAGAGGGUGACCGGCCACAUUGGGACUGAGAUACCGCCCAGACUCCUACGGGAGGCAGCAGUGGGGAAUAUUGCACAAUGGGCGGAAGCCUGAUGCAGCAACGCCGCGUGCGGGAUGACGGCCUUCGGGUUGUCAACCGCUUUCGCCUGUGACGAAGCGUGAGUGACGGUAAUGGGUAAAGAAGCACCGGCUAACUACGUG
rnacentral:rRNA from 1 species